rnacentral:rRNA from 1 species
AAACAUAGCCUCUAGCAAUACUAGUAUUAGAGGUAACGCCUGCCCAGUGAAACUUAAACGGCCGCGGUAUCCUAACCGUGCAAAGGUAGSGUAAUCACUUGUCUUAUAAAUAAAGACCUGUAUGAACGGCUAAAUGAGUAUUUAACUGUCUCCUUUAACUAAUCAGUGAAACUGAUCUUUCAGUACAAAAGCUGAAAUAUUACUAUAAGACGAGAAGACCCUGUGGAGCUUUAAACUAUGACCAAUAUAGCCCUAUAAAGUAUAUUUAUGUUUAGUAGUUUUAAGUUGGGGCGACUUUGGAGCAUAGUACAACCUCCAAGAACAAGGCACUGCCAAAAUAAGGCUGACAGGCCGAAAACUUCCAAGACCCAGUACAACUGAUCAACGAACCAAGUUACCCCAGGGGAUAACAGCGCUAUCUUCUUCAAGAGUCCCUAUCGACAAGAAGGCUUACGACCUCGAUGUUGGAUCAGGACACCCAAAUGGUGCAACCGCUAUUAAAGGUUCGUUUGUUCAACGAUUAAUAGUCCUACGUGAU